GGUCCAUUCGUCUAGGGGUUAGGACGCAUCCCUUUCACGGAUGAAACACGGGUUCGAUUCCCGUAUGGACUA
rnacentral:tRNA from 1 species